AAACACAAGACAACCAUUAACCCAAAAUAUUUAUUGUGUUUUUUUUUUUUUUUUAAUAGUCUUUUGUAGUGUCUUGGGUACAUUCCAAUUCGCGGGACAUCGACCUGCUUGAAAAAUGAUUUCUUCCUCAUAAGUUUCACUUUGUGUCUGUCCAUAUUUUUCAAAAGCUUUGUUUUAAGUACACAAUGCGUUUUAUUUUUUCAGAUUGAAUCUGGGACAAGGGCUCGUUUGUGUAUAACACAGCAGAAGCGACUCUCUUGUAUAAGAUUAUGUGGCAAGAAGAUUAUUUAUAAGUGGCGUAACAUAUGUCACGUUUUGUAUGAUAAUAUGUAGGGUGUUCGCAACCAGUUCCUCACACGCCUAUUUUAAAACUACACUAUUCUAAAAUUGAUAAAAAUUUGCCCCCGGCCGUUUAUAUUUUUGACAUUUUUAAACGCUUAUAAAGUCUACAAAGGAUGGGAUAUCAAAGAAAAAAAGAGGGGCGAAAAAUACUGCAGGCUAUUAAAAUGCAACAGACUAUCCAGGAAAGACUCACUGUUUACGAAGACCACCUGCUCCUGAAAAGGAGUCUAGCCGGGAGAGGUUAUUAAAUAAUAAAACGAAUCUUGGUUUUCCGAGUUGUUAUAAUGGAAAGGUUCCGGCUAGAUGAAUGGGCGAACGAUAUAGUUCGAAGGACAAGGUUGAUGCAAUUUUAAGAGAAUUAGAGCAUAAACCCCAGCCCGAAUCUCUCCAGUAAUCAGGAAAAUUUCGAAAGUACUAAGGUCGCUUAUUAAUCUCGACCUUCCUUUUAUUUCCUGGUUUAAAAUUCAUCCUCCUAAGACGAUACGUGUAUAUAACCAUUAUGAACUUAUAUAUAUAUAUAAAAUAUCAUUAGAGUAUAAUGAAACGGGAUGGUAUUGUUUAAGUGUCUGGUAAGGACGCCUCAAGGUCAGAAUGACGACCAUUGCACGAAAACUACAGUACACGUUAUAUAAUGUUGUGUGUCCCACGUUAUUCUCGCAUCUCUUCUACACACACAUCAUUCCUCCGCAUCACGAUGAUGCUAUUUUAUCGAUCUGUCAGCAGUUUGGCUAUGAGCCAAGAAAAUCAACGUCCCUGCGAAACGAACUGGAGGUCCCAAGUUGCGUAGAAGCUCAAAAUAUAUCUGGCAGAUUCCGAAUUUAGUUCUCCCUCUCGAGGGGGUCUCCACGUAGAAAAGUACUCUUGACAUCAUCGCUUGUUAUCUCGCUAGCCAAAUCAAUUGCUAACAAAUAUGACUAAACUGCGUACAUUCGCAUCAUCGGUAGUAAACACCUAGAAGGGUUUCGAAGCGAAAAUUCCGUCGUAGUAUGAGAAAAAAAAAAAAAAAUGGUUAUAAACAGUCUAGUUUAACAGCAUUUAUUUAAUUAUAAAUAAUAGAUCAAAGAAAAAAUUACAGGAUGUGAUGAUAAGGACAAUAUAGACUAAUGUGCUUCACUUAAUCUUUUUUAUCUUGUUGCGAUAAAUACCGUAAAUGCUAUGUAAUUUUCGCAUCUCUUUCUCUCUUUUUUUUUUUUUUUUUUUUUUUUUU
rnacentral:lncRNA from 1 species